rnacentral:rRNA from 1 species
GACGAACCGUGCGAACGUUAUUCGGAAUCACUGGGCUUAAAGCGCGUGUAGGCGGAUCGGAACGUCGGUCGCUGAAAUCCCCCGGCUUAACCGGGGAACGGGCGCCGAAACGACCGGUCUGGAGGAACGUAGGGGGAGCUGGAACUUCCGGUGGAGCGGUGAAAUGCGUUGAGAUCGGAAGGAACGCCCGUGGCGAAAGCGAGCUCCUGGACGUUUUCUGACGCUGAGACGCGAAAGCCAGGGGAGCGAACGGG